UAUCUCUGUAGAGUCUGCAUAUCAAUAAGCGGAGGAAAAGAAACUAACUAGGAUUCCCUCAGUAACGGCGAGUGAAGCGGGAAGAGCUCAAAUUUGAAAUCUUCAAGGUUCUACCUUGACGAAUUGUAGUUUAAAGAAGUGUUUUCUGUUGGAGUUUUGGUAAAAGUUCUUUGGAAUAGGACAUCAUAGAGGGUGAGAAUCCCGUAUUUGACCAUUAUUUCCAGCUUUGUGAUACACUUUCCAAAGAGUCGGAUUGUUUGGGAAUGCAGUCCAAAAUGGGUGGUAAAUUUCAUCUAAAGCUAAAUACUGGCGAGAGACCGAUAGCGAACAAGUACCGUGAGGGAAAGAUGAAAAGAACUUUGAAAAGAGAGUUAAACAGUACGUGAAAUUGUCAAAAGGGAAGCGUUUGACACCAGUGUUGUUUUCUCGAAAAUCAAUUAAAAAAGGCAGGAUUUUGUGUUGUAUUGACUUUAUCAGCUUUCUGCACUCUUUUCUUGUCUUUUUUUAAUGCACUUUUCGUUUAACAAGUCAACAUCAAUUUCUUUUGUUGUAAAAGGGUCAUUGGAAGGUGGCUUUCUUUUCGGAGAAAGUGUUUAUAGCCUUUGGCCUCUGCAAUCGGAGAGAUUGAGGUCUGCAGCGUAGAUCCUUCGGGGUUAGAUACAUUUGUGCUAAGUUAUAGCCUUUCAUAGACAACUUGUUGACUAUGAUCAGUCAUGUAGCUUACUCGCUUAUGCUAUUUUACCUACGCUUAGGAUGUUGAAGAUGUAGCACAUCAU
rnacentral:rRNA from 1 species